AAGGAGUGCUAACUCAACAAGUAUUUACUUUAAGGUUCUUUAUGGGGGUAUAGCUCAGUUGGGAGAGCACCUGCCUUGCAAGCAGGGGGUCAGGAGUUCGAAUCUCCUUAUCUCCACCAAUGACCUAACAGCAAUCUUCGAUUGCGUCGUAGGUCAAGUGCCGUUUUGUUUCAAAUCUUCGAUUUAUCAAAAAACGGCCAUUGACUUAACAAAAGUCAGAACCAUGACCUAACCAAAGGUCAAAAGAACAUUGAAAAUCGAAUAACAGUAUAUAUUUC
rnacentral:tRNA from 1 species